rnacentral:rRNA from 1 species
GACGAACGCUGGCGGCAUGCCUAACACAUGCAAGUCGAACGAGACCUUCGGGUCUAGUGGCGCACGGGUGCGUAACGCGUGGGAAUCUGCCCUUGGGUUCGGAAUAACAGUUAGAAACGACUGCUAAUACCGGAUGAUGACUUCGGUCCAAAGAUUUACCGCCCAAGGAUGAGCCCACGUAGGAUUAGCUAGUUGGUAGGGUAAAGGCCUACCAAGGCGACGAUCCUUAGCUGGUCUGAGAGGAUGAUCAGCCACACUGGGACUGAGACACGGCCCAGACUCCUACGGGAGGCAGCAGUGGGGAAUAUUGGACAAUGGGCGAAAGCCUGAUCCAGCAAUGCCGCGUGAGUGAUGAAGGCCCUAGGGUUGUAAAGCUCUUUUACCCGGGAUGAUAAUGACAGUACCGGGAGAAUAAGCCCCGGCUAACUCCGUGCCAGCAGCCGCAGUAAGAC